rnacentral:rRNA from 1 species
GAUGAACGCUGGCGGCGUGCCUAAUACAUGCAAGUCGAGCGAACAGAUGAGGAGCUUGCUCCUCUGACGUUAGCGGCGGACGGGUGAGUAACACGUGGAUAACCUACCUAUAAGACUGGGAUAACUUCGGGAAACCGGAGCUAAGACCGGAUAAUAUAUUGAACCGCAUUGUUCAAUAGUGAAAGACGGUUUUGCUGUCACUUAUAGAUGGAUCCGCGCCGCAUUAGCUAGUUGGUAAGGUAACGGCUUACCAAGGCAACGAUGCGUAGCCGACCUGAAAGGGUGAUCGGACACACUGGAAGUGAGACACGGCCCAGACUCCUAGGGGAGGCAGCAGUAGGGAAUCUUACGCGAUGGGGGAAAGCCUGACGGAGCAACGCCGGCUGAGGGAUGAAGGUCUUCGGAUCGUAAAACUCUGUUAUUCGGGAAGAACAAAUGUGCAAGUAACUAUGCACGUAUUGACGGUACCUAAUCAGAAAGCCCCGGCUAACUACGUG